rnacentral:rRNA from 1 species
GUGACUGCGUACCUUUUGUAUAAUGGGUCAGCGACUUAUAUUCUGUAGCAAGGUUAACCGAAUAGGGGAGCCGGAGGGAAACCGAGUCUUAAUUGGGCGUUAAGUUGCAGGGUAUAGACCCGAAACCCGGUGAUCUAGCCAUGGGCAGGUUGAAGGUUGGGUAACACUAACUGGAGGACCGAACCGACUAAUGUUGAAAAAUUAGCGGAUGACCUGUGGCUGGGGGUGAAAGGCCAAUCAAACCGGGAGAUAGCUGGUUCUCCCCGAAAGCUAUUUAGGUAGCGCCUCGUGAAUUCAUCUCCGGGGGUAGAGCACUGUUUCGGCUAGGGGGCCAUCCCGGCUUACCAACCCGAUGCAAACUGCGAAUACCGGAGAAUGUUAUCACGGGAGACACACGGCGGGUGCUAACGUCCGUCGUGAAGAGGGAAACAACCCAGACCGCCAGCUAAGGUCCCAAAGUCAUGGUUAAGUGGGAAACGAUGUGGGAAGGCCCAGACAGCCAGGAUGUUGGCUUAGAAGCAGCCAUCAUUUAAAGAAAGCGUAAUAGCUCACUGGUCGAGUCGGCCUGCGCGGAAGAUGUAACGGGGCUAAACCAUGCACCGAAGCUGCGGCAGCGAACGUAUCACCCAAGACAACUUUACGGAGUUGACGAUUGACGGAGCGAAGCGACGUCAAAGCGUUCAUUAAAGUCGAGUUGGCUUAGGGAUACGUUCGUUGGGUAGGGGAGCGUUCUGUAAGCCUGUGAAGGUGUGUCGUGAGGCAUGCUGGAGGUAUCAGAAGUGCGAAUGCUGACAUAAGUAACGAUAAAGCGGGUGAAAAGCCCGCUCGCCGGAAGACCAAGGGUUCCUGUCCAACGUUAAUCGGGGCAGGGUGAGUCGACCCCUAAGGCGAGGCCGAAAGGCGUAGUCGAUGGGAAACGGGUUAAUAUUCCCGUACUUGGUGUUACUGCGAAGGGGGGACGGAGAAGGCUAUGUUGGCCGGGCGACGGUUGUCCCGGUUUAAGCGUGUAGGUGUGUGUUCCAGGUAAAUCCGGUUCACUUUAACACUGAGGCGUGACGACGAGGCACUACGGUGCUGAAGCAACAAAUGCCCUGCUUCCAGGAAAAGCCUCUAAGCAUCAGGUAACAUCAAAUCGUACCCCAAACCGACACAGGUGGUCAGGUAGAGAAUACCAAGGCGCUUGAGAGAACUCGGGUGAAGGAACUAGGCAAAAUGGUGCCGUAACUUCGGGAGAAGGCACGCUGACACGUAGGUGAAGUGAUUUACUCA